GCCCGGCUAGCUCAGUCGGUAGAGCAUGAGACUCUUAUUUUCAGGGUCGUUGGUUCGAGCCCUACAAUGGGCG